UUUUCUGGUCAACAAUACACUUACUACAGAAUAUAUCCAUGAAAAUAGGACCUGGGCAUUAUCUUUCCAUUAAGUUUGGUUUCCUUGUUAUUGUUUAAUGUUAACUUUCUUUUUCAGAAGUCUCAUCUGAAUAGAUGUUUAAUAUUAGCAGUUUUUUAAAAAAUAUGUCUUUUACCCCAUCUUUCCAGUUAUACUUCUCAUCUGGACCCGAGUUGGUAGUUGGAGUACAUUGGUGAAUAGUCACAGCUCUCUGCCCUUGUGAAGUUUGUAUUCAAUACAGGUAACUACACCGGAGAAAUCUUACAAGAAUUUAGUCACAGUCAGGAAGAUUUUUCAGCUUAUUGGUGUUUCCUCACAGUUUUUAUCCAAAAAUGUAGGUUUCCACUUAUUGUAUCAUUUGUUAAAUAUUUAUCAUGUGAAAUAAUGCUAAGAAAUGUACUCCUUGUUCCCAGAAACAGUUACAACCACACUAGUUAUA